AGGAAAAAUAAAUAAAUACUUAUCUAUGAUUAUGCAGAGAACUGCUAUGAACCAAUAUCCCUAUGAUUUCAGUCACAGUGAUAAUCACGAUUUAAGAUAGUAAUAUCUAAAAUCGUAGUGGUCACUUAAGGUUUAUAGAUAAUAGAGGUUGCCUCACCGUCAAAUUUAUGAAAAAUAAGCACUGAGGAAAAUCCGACAAUGACGUCACUGCAGUACACGGUACAUGCCGCCAUAAUAAGUUGUGGUACUAUUCUUCGUAUUUUUUACAAUUUCAACUGUGUUUUUAAUAUUAUUAUAUUGAAUUGUCAAAUCAUGAAUACGAAAGGAGGUUCAAAUUGUGCAACAUGCAAUUCUUAUUCUGGCAAAAUAAAAAAAGCUGGAAGGACUGAUGUAUCAUUUCACAGGUAUAAAUUAUAAUGAUUUCAUACGUCUUGUGAUGUACUGAUAUCAUCUUGUAAAUAGAGUUAUAGAGAUGAAUUCAGUUUUCCAUUUAAUUUACUAUUUUUUAAGUUGACUUUACCGUAAUUUAAAGGUUUCCAAAGGACCCCAAAAGUUAAAAAGUUCUUCAAAAGUUAUGGAUUCAAAAAUGUAAACGAGGAGACAUUUUGAAUCCUAGUACAUCAUAUGUGUUCAGAACAUUUCAAUUCUGAUGACUUUCUUCGUGAUUUAAAAGCUGAACUCUUAGACCAAAAACCUGUCAGGAGACUGAAACCAGAUGUAGUACCUACAGAAAACUAAAAUAAACUAAAAUCAAAAUCAACAAAUUCUAGUUGUAAAAAUGAAAGCUAAAUUACAAUUACAAAAACUUCAAAAGCUAAGAAAAUAUAACUUAAAAAUAUAACUUUUGACUUGUUUAUUAAGUAGGUAUUAAAUAAAAAUAAUUGCAUAUUUUUAUAUAUUUUGUAUUUAUGGAGUGUUUUUAUUACUAAAAUAUUUAUUAUUCAAAUUUAUUUUUAUUUUAGGAAUCAUUUAAAUAAAUACAUUGGGAAAUAUAGAGUAUAGAACAGGU